rnacentral:SRP_RNA from 1 species
CCGCUUGCCCCUGUCGGCAGGAAGCCGCAGCCAACAGACAGAAGAGAAGACACGCAGGAGGAGACUACUUCCGAUGACGAUGAUGGCAUGCCGCCCAUUGCCGCUGUGGGCAGAAAGGCGCAGCCGGAGGAAAGGAGAGAAAAUCUGCAGGCGGGCAAAGCAGGCAAGGCGGAGC